AACGCGAAGAACCUUACCUACCCUUGACAUCCUACGAAGACUGCAGAGAUGCGGUUGUGCCGAAAGGAACGUAGAGACAGGUGCUGCAUGGCUGUCGUCAGCUCGUGUUGUGAGAUGUUGGGUUAAGUCCCGUAACGAGCGCAACCCUUAUCCUUAGUUGCCAACAUGUAAUGGUGGGGACUCUAAGGAGACUGCUGGUGAAGAACCGGAGGAAGGUGGGGACGACGUCAAGUCAUCAUGGCCUUUAUGGGUAGGGCAACACACGUGCUACAAUGGUCAGUACAGAGGGUAGCGAAACUGCGAAGUGGAGCCAAUCCCGAAAAGCUGAUCGUAGUCCGGAUUGAAGUCUGCAACUCGACUUCAUGAAGUUGGAAUCGCUAGUAAUCGCGAAUCAGAACGUCGCGGUGAAUACGUUCCCGGGCCUUGUACACACCGCACGA
rnacentral:rRNA from 1 species